rnacentral:rRNA from 1 species
GUCCACGCAGUAAACGAUGGGUGCUAGUUGUCGGGCUCUUAGAGUUCGGUGGCGAAGCUAACGCGUUAAGCACCCCGCCUGGGGAAUACGGUCGCAAGACUAAAACUCAAAGAAAUUGACGGGGACCCGCACAAGCAGUGGAGCAUGUGGUUUAAUUCGAUGCUACGCGAAAAACCUUACCAACCCUUGAAUCUGGAUCACCGGCUAAGAGAUUAGCCUUCGGUUCGCCGGAUCCAAGACAGGUGUUGCAUGGCUGUCGU